rnacentral:rRNA from 1 species
AACGAACGCUGGCGGCGCGCCUAAUACAUGCAAGUCGAGCGAGAAGGUGUAGCAAUACACUUGUAAAGCGGCGAACGGGUGAGGAAUACAUGGGUAAUCUACCAUCGAGUGGGGAAUAACCAGCCGAAAGGUUGGCUAAUACCGCGUACGCUUCCGAGUCUUCGGGCUUGGAAGGAAAGCCGCACUGUGAGUGCGGCGCUCUUUGAUGAGCUCAUGUCCUAUCAGCUUGUUGGUAGGGUAACGGCCUACCAAGGCUUUGACGGGUAGCUGGUCUGAGAGGACGAUCAGCCACACUGGCACUGCGACACGGGCCAGACUCCUACGGGAGGCAGCAGUAAGGAAUAUUGCGCAAUGGGCGAAAGCCUGACGCAGCGACGCCGCGUGGGGGAUGAAGGUCUUCGGAUUGUAAACCCCUUUCGGGAGGGAAGAUGGAGCGAGCAAUCGUUUGGACGGUACCUCCAGAAGCAGCCACGGCCAACUUCGUGCCAGC